CCUACGGGAGGCAGCAGUGAGGAAUAUUGGUCAAUGGACGCAAGUCUGAACCAGCCAAGUAGCGUGCAGGAUGACGGCCCUCCGGGUUGUAAACUGCUUUUAGUUGGGAAUAAAAGGGGGCUGGUGAGCCCCGUAUUGUAUGUACCAUCAGAAAAAGGACCGGCUAAUUCCGUGCCAGCAGCCGCGGUAAUACGGAAGGUCCGGGCGUUAUCCGGAUUUAUGGGGUUUAAAGGGAGCGUAGGCCGGAUUUUAAGUCAGCUGUGAAAGUCCGCGGCUCAACCGUGGAAUUGCAGUUGAAACUGGAGGCCGUGAGUGCACACAGGGAUGCCGGAAUUCAUGGUGUAGCGGUGAAAUGCUUAGAUAUCAUGAAGAACUCCGAUCGCGAAGGCAAGUGUCCGGGGUGCAACUGACGCUGAGGCUCGAAAGUGCGGGUAUCAAACAGGAUUAGAUACCCUAGUAGUC
rnacentral:rRNA from 1 species